rnacentral:lncRNA from 1 species
AUGGUUGUAAAAAAUGUAGUCUCUGCCCUGGAUCAUCCUCAAUCUGCCCGCUCACCUACGAGAGAGGAAGAAUAGAAACCCCUGGAAUGGGCCCUCUCUGAAAGUGUCUGUGUUUGGACACUCUCUCUCUCAGACUGGGGAGAGGGAACAGACUUUUCAGGUCCCAUCACGGUUGACAAAACACAGCACAGCGGGACAAUGUGCUGUGGGAGCAAUAAAGGCAGUUCAGAGCUGCCUACGAGUCAAGCAGGAAAUGAGUCCAGGAAUGACAGUGAGAGUUAUGCCCCCAGGAGACACUGGCAGUAGAGUGGCAAUGUUCCCAGAGGAUAAGGAUGUGAGAGAUGAAAUUAAGAAUUCACUCAAGGGUCAAAGGGUCAAGGGAGAUAGUCAAGACUGAGUAGUUCCCAGCUCUGCAAUCAUGAUCAAGAGACAUCCUGAGAACUAGGGAAUCAGGAAACUCCCAAAAUCGAAAUGGAAAUCUGAAAUGGUCUAGUGGCUCAAGAGUUCAAAGAAUGCUCCCUUUCACCAAGAGCAUUGGUUACAAGAUCCAGAGAAACUCUCGCUUACAGGACAUCUUGCUGGGGAGUUCAAGCCGCCAUUGGAUUCACUGCACAGCCAGCCACUGGGUUGUACUUUUGAAGAGCCCUUUGAUUCGAAUAGCUUUGCUCCCAGUGUCUUUGAGUCCCAUUUUCAGACUGCUCACGGGGGACUUGACAGUUUCUCAGGUGUCAUAUGCCC